ACGAACGCUGGCGGCGUGCUUAACACAUGCAAGUCGAACGAAGUAGCAAUACUUAGUGGCGAACGGGUGCGUAACACGUGACUAACUUGCCCAAGACUGUGGGAUAACGGAGGGAAACUUCCGCUAAUACCGCAUGUUGAGCUUAGGUGGCAUCACCGGAGCUUGAAAGAUUUAUCGGUCUUGGAUAGGGUCGCGGCCUAUUAGCUUGUUGGUGAGGUAAUGGCUCACCAAGGCUACGAUGGGUAGCUGGUCUGAGAGGAUGAUCAGCCACACUGGGACUGAGAUACGGCCCAGACUCCUACGGGAGGCAGCAGUGAGGAAUAUUGCGCAAUGGGCGAAAGCCUGACGCAGCAACGCCGCGUGAAGGAUGAAGGUGCUCUGCAUUGUAAACUUCUGUAGGGAGGGAAGAAAACCCACUCCGUGGGCUUGACGGUACCUCCAAAGUAAGCACCGGCUAAUUCCGU
rnacentral:rRNA from 1 species